rnacentral:rRNA from 1 species
UGGGGAAUUUUCCGCAAUGGGCGAAAGCCUGACGGAGCAAUGCCGCGUGGAGGUGGAAGGCCUACGGGUCGUCAACUUCUUUUCUCGGAGAAGAAACAAUGACGGUAUCUGAGGAAUAAGCAUCGGCCUAACUCUGUGCUAG